rnacentral:rRNA from 1 species
UUUAAAAUUGAGAGUUUGAUCCUGGCUCAGGACGAACGCUGGCGGCGUGCUUAACACAUGCAAGUCGAGCGAUGAAGCUUCCUUCGGGAAGUGGAUUAGCGGCGGACGGGUGAGUAACACGUGGGUAACCUGCCUCAAAGUGGGGGAUAGCCUUCCGAAAGGAAGAUUAAUACCGCAUAACAUAAGAGAAUCGCAUG